rnacentral:hammerhead_ribozyme from 1 species
AUCCAUCUGACGAUUCCCAAACAUGACGAAUCGCGCGUCCUGGAU